rnacentral:rRNA from 1 species
CAAAGUGAAGAUGGCGACCGGCGCACGGGUGAGUAACACGUAUCCAACCUGCCCUUUACUCGGGGAUAGCCUUUCGAAAGAAAGAUUAAUACCCGAUGGUAUAAUAAAGCCGCAUGGUUUAAUUAUUAAAGAAUUUCGGUUAUCGAUGGGGAUGCGUUCCAUUAGGCAGUUGGUGAGGUAACGGCUCACCAAACCUUCGAUGGAUAGGGGUUCUGAGAGGAAGGUCCCCCACAUUGGAACUGAGACACGGUCCAA